CUCUCCUGCUCCUCUCCCUGUCCCUCCUCUCCUGCUCCUCUCCCCGUCCCUCCUCUGCUCCUCCUCUCUCCUCCCCUCAGGCCCUCGUUGAGUUGGGCUGUAUCAAGAAGAAGUACGUGACCAGACGUCCCAAACCCUCCCUCUUCUCCCGUCCAGCCCCGUCCUUAUGGUGGGGGAGGAGAGCGAGGGAGAGACGGGGGUGAGGCUGGAGGAGACGGGGGUGAGGCUGGAGGAGACGGGGGUGAGGCUGGAGGAGACGGGGGUGAGGCUGGAGGAGACGGGGUAAGACCGGCUGAGACGACCACUGUGUUCUAUGAGCCAACCAUCGACUGCUGUCUGCGUCUAGGACAGGUUUUACCCCAUGAAAACAACUGGAACCAGUGGGUCCAGUUCGCACAACAUGAGAACAAACAGUAAGGACUGGAGUUUAAACUGAUCUGGGUUCUAAUUCUUUAGUACCUCGCUGUAGUGAAACGUUUUUAUACCGAAAAUGUUUUGCAACAAAAAAAAGUUUCUAUUGUGAAAAAUGAAAGUCAGUCCCUGUCCGUUUGGUUCCCGAUGAUUCUGUUUGGUUCCCUAUGUUUCUGUUUGGUUCCCGAUGUUUCUGUUUGGUUCCCUAUGUUUCUGUUUGGUUCCCUAUGUUUCUGUUUGGUUCCCUAUGUUUCUGUUUGGUUCCCUAUGUUUCUGUUUGGUUCCCUAUGUUUCUGUUUGGUUCCCUAUGUUUCUGUUUGGUUCCCUAUGUUUCUGUUUGGUUCCCUAUGUUUCUGUUUGGUUCCCUAUGUUUCUGUUUGGUUCCCUAUGUUUCUGUUUGGUUCCCUAUGUUUCUGUUUGGUUCCCUAUGUUUCUGUUUCGUUCCCUAUGUUUCCGUUUGGUUCCCUGUGUUUCUGUUUGGUUCCCUAUGUUUCUGUUUCGUUCCCUAUGUUUCUGUUUGGUUCCCUGUGUUUCUGUUUGGUUCCCUAUGUUUCUGUUUGGUUCCCGAUGUUUCUGUUUGGUUCCCGAUGUUUCUGUUUGGUUCCCUAUGUUUCUGUUUGGUUCCCUAUGUUUCUGUUUGGUUCCCUAUGAUUCUGUUUGGUUCCCUAUGUUUCUGUUUGGUUCCCUAUGUUUCUGUUUGGUUCCCUAUGUUUCUGUUUGGUUCCCUAUGAUUCUGUUUGGUUCCCUAUGAUUCUGUUUGGUUCCCUAUGUUUCUGUUUGGUUCCCUAUGUUUCUGUUUGGUUCCCUAUGAUUCUGUUUGGUUCCCUAUGAUUCUGUUUGGUUCCCUGACGUUUCUGUUUGGUUCCCUAUGUUUCUGUUUGGUUCCCUAUGUUUCUGUUUGGUUCCCUAUGUUUCUGUUUGGUUCCCUAUGUUUCUGUUUGGUUCCCUAUGUUUCUGUUUGGUUCCCUAUGUUUCUGUUUGGUUCCCUAUGUUUCCGUUUCGUUCCCUAUGUUUCUGUUUGGUUCCCUAUGUUUCUGUUUGGUUCCCUAUGUUUCUGUUUGGUUCCAUUGAGUUGUUAGUGGAUACACACCAGGACUGCUAGGGGACGGGAGUUUUACUUGAUCACGAUUAAUAGGCCCAGGAGUUAAAACAACAAGUUUCUUCACAGGGGUUAACCCAAAGGUCUUUAGUUCUGACUCUUACCGGACAGCAAGAUUAGAUUUUAGCUUAAAAAAAAAUGCUGUUUUAGUUUGUUGUAGUGACACAGAUCUCUGGGAAUUAGUUUCACAUCUUAGAUGUCCUUUCAGGGGAAAACCUGUUUUUCAUUUCAGUUUUGCUAUUGUUUUCUUGAAAGUGUGAUUUAAUAAAAAAUUCAAAUCGUGAAA